UACGUAGGGUGCAAGCGUUGUCCGGAAUUAUUGGGCGUAAAGAGCUCGUAGGCGGUCUGUCGCGUCGGCUGUGGAAACCCGGGGCUCAACCCCGGGCCUGCAGUCGAUACGGGCGGACUAGAGUUCGGCAGGGGAGACUGGAAUUCCUGGUGUAGCGGUGAAAUGCGCAGAUAUCAGGAGGAACACCGGUGGCGAAGGCGGGUCUCUGGGCCGAUACUGACGCUGAGGAGCGAAAGCGUGGGGAGCGAACAGG
rnacentral:rRNA from 1 species